GAUUAUGGGACGCAUGAACACUCUGGCUUCUAAGAUGCAUGCUGGGAGUUAUUGUUGAGUAAUAAUUUAUUUUACCAAAACAAAGGCUGAAAAUUGUGUAUGCACUGUACCAUUUUUAUCACAAACUGGUUGAGUUAUAUUUUUACCGUUACCAUCAUUUGGAAUUAGUUUGCUGGCUGUUGAGAUAUG